rnacentral:rRNA from 1 species
ACAAGCGGUGGAGCAUGUGGUUAAUUCGAAGCAACGCGAAGAACUUACCAGGCCUUGACAUGCAGAGAACUUUCCAGAGAUGGAUUGGUGGCCUUCGGGAACUCUGACACAGGUGCUGCAUGGCUGUCGUCAGCUCGUGUCGUGAGAUGUUGGGUUAAGCCCGUAACGAGCGCAACCCUUGUCCUUAGUUACCAGCACGUUACGGUGGGCACUCUAAGGAGACUGCCGGUGACAAACCGGAGGAAGUGGGGAUGACGUCAGGUCAUCAUGGCCCUUACGGCCUGGGCUACACACGUGCUACAAUGGUCGGUACAAAGGGUUGCCAAGCCGCGAGGUGGAGCUAAUCCCAUAAAACCGAUCGUAGUCUGGAUCGCAGUCUGCAACUCGACUGCGUGAAGUCGGAAUCGCUAGUAAUCGUGAAUCAGAAUGUCACGGUGAAUACGUUCCCGGGCCUU